rnacentral:rRNA from 1 species
UACGUAGGGGGCAAGCGUUGUCCGGAUUUAUUGGGCGUAAAGAGCGUGUAGGCGGUCUGGUAGGUCCGCUGUGAAAACUCGAGCUCAACCUCGAGACGCCGGUGGAAACCAUCGGACUAGAGUCCGGAAGAGGAGAGUGGAAUUCCUGGUGUAGCGGUGAAAUGCGCAGAUAUCAGGAAGAACACCCGUGGCUAAGGCGGCUCUCUAGUACGGUACUGACGCUGAGACGCGAAAGCGUGGGGAGCGAACAGG